UACGUAGGUGGCAAGCGUUGUCCGGAUUUAUUGGGUUUAAAGGGUGCGUAGGUGGUCCUAUAAGUCAGUGCUGAAAUAUCCCGGCUUAACCGGGAGGGUGGCAUUGAUACUGCAGGACUUGAGUAAAGUUGAGGUAGGCGGAAUUGACGGUGUAGCGGUGAAAUGCUUAGAUAUCGUCAAGAACACCUAUUGCGAAGGCAGCUUACUAAGCUUUAACUGACACUGAUGCACGAAAGUGUGGGGAUCAAACAGG
rnacentral:rRNA from 1 species